AACGAACGCUGGCGGCAUGCCUAACACAUGCAAGUCGAACGAGACCUUCGGGUCUAGUGGCGCACGGGUCCGUAACGCGUGGGAACCUGCCCUUAGGUUCGGCAUAACUCCCCGAAAGGGGUGCUAAUACCGGAUCAUGUCUUCCGACCAAAGUUUUAUCGACUUUGGAUGGGCCGGCGUGGGAUUAGCUGGUUAUUAGGGUAAAAGCCUAUCAAGGCGACGAUCCAUAGCUGGUCUGAGAGGCAGAGCCGCGACACUGGGACUGAGAAACGGCCGGGACUCUUAGGGGAGGCACGAGAGGGGGAUACUGGCAAGCGGCGUAAGGCAUGAACCACUUCUGACGGGUAAGUGAUGAAGGCUGGGGGGUAGUAAAGUACGUUUACCCGGGAUUGUAAUGACGGUACCGGGAGAAUAAGCUCCGGCUAACUCCGUG
rnacentral:rRNA from 1 species